rnacentral:rRNA from 1 species
UACGUAGGAGACGAGCGUUGUCCGGAGUUACUGGGCGUAAAGGGUGCGCAGGCGGCCUCGCGCGUCGCGAGUGAAAUCUCCCGGCUCAACUGGGAGGGUGGUCGCGAGACGGCGGGGCUUGAGGCUCGGUGAGGGGCGUGGAAUUCCGGGUGGAGCGGUGAAAUGCGUAGAGAUCCGGAGGAACACCGACGGCGUAGGCAGCGCCCUAGACGAGACCUGACGCUCAGGCACGAAAGCGCGGGGAGCGAACAGG